rnacentral:lncRNA from 1 species
GGCACUAGCGAGCAGGCUCAUCAGAGCUGCUGCAUUCUUCUGGAAGCUGCAGAGAAAGGGAGCCCGGAAACCUGGUAUGCCAGCAAAAAGGGCUGGAGUGCAAUGACAUGAUCUCAGCUGACUGCAACCUCUGCCUCCCCGGGUUCAAGCCAUUCUCCUGCCUCAGCCUCCUGAGCAGCUGGGAUUACAGUUUAUAAUCAGAUAUAAGUCUCUUGGGGAAUCUGACCUCAUACCUCAUCUACACAGUUCCUGUACGAGGUUCCUGACCUGUGCAGAAAGACGCCAGAGCGAUCCGCGGUCUUUUCCCAUCUUCAUAGACUAACCAACCUCAAGAUUAAGGUGUUAUAAAACACUAAGGGAGGGAUUGAAACUACCUUUGCAAAAUUAUGACUGAGACAGUGAAAGAAAUCUAAUUUAAUCGACUCCAUCUUGCUUCUAAUCUACAAGCUGUCCUUGUCCAUUCUUGGACCUAGGCUGAAUUAACUUUGGGAGGAACUUAGUUUAUGGUUUAAAUCAAAGACGAUAACAGCCCUUUCCCAAAGCAGACCUCCUUCUUGCCUGAGGACUAAAUUGCCUUUGUAGGGCUAACAAUAACCAGAUAAGAAAUCAUGGUUGAGGAGUCAUGUAGCUGGAGGGUACAAGAUUCUGACCCUCCCUAAACUGCUCCCAAGAUUAG